AUGCAACAUGCUUGUGGCAGUAUAAAACAGUCUGCAUGAGAGAAUAGUCCAUGAGAGCAAAAUCAAUGUAAGGAUAAAUGAAUGUAGAUGGGAUCACCAAUCCCAAAUGUGUUACAAGAAGAGAGUGAACAAAGUGACACGGAGACUAAGAGAAGAUAAGAAAAGAAGUAGAAAGCAAACAUAGGGCAGUAUCCUGGCACAGAAUGCCUGGAGUAGCUCAACAAUGCGGGAGCAGAUGACUUGGGGAAAGCCUAGUUCGUUGGGCUUGCUGCCAGGGUGAGUGUCUAUGGG
rnacentral:lncRNA from 1 species